UCCUGUCUAAACAAACGCACGGCACUGACGUCCGCGAAGACUAAAACAGCAAUGAGAAGUACAUCUCAGCAACGAUCACGGAUUGUACAAGUUAAUACAAAUCAAUCCUCUGUUUGCCAAAUGAAUGAUACACAUUCUUUCCAGAAGGAAUGCUGCCAGUCUCCCCGACUCUAGUAGCCAUGAAGGGGCAGACAGGAGGAGAAUGACGGCCCCAGAGAGAGAAGCAUGCAGAAACUCGAUCUGGGCCGGGACUGCUGCACUCGCACUAUAAGCGGAGCCAAUGUCAAACAGGCGUGGGCCCACAACAAAGGAGAAUU